rnacentral:rRNA from 1 species
CUACGGGAUGCUCCAGUAAGGAAUAUUGCGCAAUGGAGGCAACUCUGACGCAGCCAUGCCGCGUGCAGGAAGAAGGCCUUAUGGGUCGUAAACUGCUUUUAUUUAGGAAUAAACCCCCGAACGUGUUCGGGGCUGAAGGUACUAAACGAAUAAGCACCGGCUAACUCCGUGCCAGCGGCCGCGGUAAGACGGAGGGUGCAAGCGUUAUCCGGAUUUUUUGGGUUUAAAGGGUGCGCAGGCGGGCUAUUAAGUCAGUGGUGAAAUCCCGGGGCUCAACUCCGGAACUGCCAUUGAUACUGGUAGUCUUGAGUUUGGUUGAAGUGGGCGGAAUGUAGCAUGUAGCGGUGAAAUGCAUAGAUAUGCUACAGAACACCAAUCGCGAAGGCAGCUCACUAAGCCAAAACUGACGCUCAUGCACGAAAGCGUGGGGAUCAAACAGGAUUAGAUACCCCGGUAGUC